rnacentral:lncRNA from 1 species
UUGAACGUCUUUUGUUUUUUUAUGGUAAAGUAAAUAGAAUUUGAAAAUCAAUAGGGGAAAUUUGCCCCUUUGCUCUAAUCCUGUUAUUCUAUGUUGAAUUUUCUCUUGAGAAUGUUGAAAGCUAAUUUAUUGAAUUGACUCGACCCUAGUUUUCCAAGUCAGUACAUGCUAUUUCCUUUUCUCGCUUUUGUGGUUAAACAUCAUAUGCUUCAUACUUCAUGUAACUUUUAAUCUUCUUAUCUUCUAGGUUUUGUCAUGCACACUUUUCUAUAGUAUAUCUUCUUUGUUGCUAUGCUUUCCUUUUACUAAUUCUCUUAUGAUAUUAUUAUUGUAUUGAUCACUUGUGAUCAAUUUUUACAUAGUUGAAAUGGUUUGUCGAACCGAUAUUAGAGGGUGUACCGGCAAGCAAUCAAUUUGGCAUGGUAUGGGUUCGUAAUGUGCCGUUCCCGGGCAUACCGAAAUAGGGAGAGCCGAAGAGGGAGGGGGAGAGGGAGAAAAGAGAGAGAGAGAGAGAGAGAGAGAGAGAGAGAGAGAGAGAGGAGAGAGAGAGAGAGGGUCGAGGGAAACCCCAAGCCUAACUCUUGGAGCAAGAGAGAUAGUGCGAGGAAGGGGGUGUUCACAAGAGAGCCAAUGGAAACCCUAACGCUAACCUUGGAUAGGGAGGGAUAGGGAGGAGGAAGUGAGAUAGAGAUAGAUAGAUAGAUAGAUAGAUAGAGAGAGGAGGUCACCAGUGGCAUGAAAACCCUCAGGGGUAGGGGAUGUUUGCAAGUGGGGGGAGGGGGUGCUCUCUGGAAACAUCACGAUGAGGGGUGGAGUGGGGACUUAAACCACUGCCAGGUUUA